rnacentral:rRNA from 1 species
AGACUGGAAUUCCUGGUGUAGCGGUGGAAUGCGCAGAUAUCAGGAGGAACACCGGUGGCGAAGGCGGGUCUCUGGGCAGUAACUGACGCUGAGGAGCGAAAGCGUGGGGAGCGAACAGGAUUAGAUACCCUGGUAGUCCACGCCGUAAACGGUGGGUACUAGGUGUGGGUUUCCUUCCUUGGGAUCCGUGCCGUAGCUAACGCAUUAAGUACCCCGCCUGGGGAGUACGGCCGCAAGGCUAAAACUCAAAGAAAUUGACGGGGGCCCGCACAAGCGGCGGAGCAUGUGGAUUAAUUCGAUGCAACGCGAAGAACCUUACCUGGGUUUGACAUGCACAGGACGCUGGUAGAGAUAUCAGUUCCCUUGUGGCCUGUGUGCAGGUGGUGCAUGGCUGUCGUCAGCUCGUGUCGUGAGAUGUUGGGUUAAGUCCCGCAACGAGCGCAACCCUUGUCUCAUGUUGCCAGCACGUUAUGGUGGGGACUCGUGAGAGACUGCCGGGGUCAACUCGGAGGAAGGUGGGGAUGACGUCAAGUCAUCAUGCCCCUUAUGUCCAGGGCUUCACACAUGCUACAAUGGCCGGUACAAAGGGCUGCGAUGCCGUGAGGUGGAGCGAAUCCUUUCAAAGCCGGUCUCAGUUCGGAUCGGGGUCUGCAACUCGACCCCGUGAAGUCGGAGUCGCUAGUAAUCGCAGAUCAGCAACGCUGCGGUGAAUACGUUCCCGGGCCUUGUACACACCGCCCGUCACGUCAUGAAAGUCGGUAACACCCGAAGCCGGUGGCCUAACCCCUUGUGGGAGGAGCCGUCGACAGGAAGAUACCCCAACCCCCC